GGGCGAUUAGCUCAGUUGGUAGAGCAGCUGACUCUUAAUCAGCGGGUCGGGGGUUCGAGUCCCCCAUCGCCCUCCA
rnacentral:tRNA from 1 species